rnacentral:rRNA from 1 species
CCUACGGGUGGCAGCAGUGAGGAAUAUUGGUCAAUGGGCGCGAGCCUGAACCAGCCAAGCAGCGUGAAGGAUGACUGCCCUACGGGUUGUAAACUUCUUUUAUAAAGGAAUAAAGUGGGGCACGUGUGCCUUUUUGUAUGUACUUUAAGAAUAAGGAUCGGCUAACUCCGUGUCAGCAGCCGCGGUAAGACGGAGGAUCCGGGCGUUAUCCGGAUUUUUUUGGUUGAAAGGGAGGGUUGAGGGGUUGUUUAGGCAGUGGGGAAAGUUUGCGGCUUAAACGCAAGCUCGCAAUUGAUACUGGCAGUCUUGAGUUCAGUUGAGGUAGGCGGAAUUCGUGGUGUAGCGGUGAAAUGCGUAGAUAUCACGAAGAACUCCGAUUGCGAAGGCAGCUUACU